UACGUAGGGUGCAAGCGUUGAUCCGGAAUUAUUGGGCGUAAAGAGCUCGUAGGCGGUUUGUUGCGUCGGCUGUGAAAUCCCGAGGCUCAACCUCGGGUCUGCAGUCGAUACGAGCAAACUAGAGUGUUGCAGGGGAGACUGGAAGUUCCUGGUGUAGCGGUGAAAUGACGCAGAGUAUCAGGAGGAACGACCGGUGGCGAAGGCGGGGUCUCUGGGCAACAACUGACGCUGGAGGAGCGAAAGCGUGGGGAGCGAACAGG
rnacentral:rRNA from 1 species